UCCCGUAUACACACAAAUGCUUAUACAUUCUUGCACAUAGACAGAACCAUAUGGCUCUGUCUGGCCAAAAUAUCUUCUGGACUGAAGCAUUUAAGAGCUAGUUUGUGAUCCUCCUUCUACCUGUUUUUCUUGUAUGAGUAACAACUAAGAUUCCUUUUGGGACGAUAAAGCAUUUGUUAGUCUGAGUCUCCAGUGACAGUAUUGGUCAGACACCCUGGAUGAAAUACUGCAUGAGUAAAAAUAAACUUUUGUUGAGUUAAGUCACUGAGAUUUUGGAGUUUGUUUUGCUAUUGCAGCACAGUCUAUGUUAUGACUUCUCGGUGUCACAGUUAGCUGAGAAAAAGUUUGACUCAGAAUUUUUUCCAGCUUUAUUGAGAGAUAACUGACAAAUAAAAAUUGUAUAUAUUCAAAGUGUACAAUAUGAUGAUUUGAUUGUGUAACAAUUGCCACACUCAAAUUAAUUAACACAACCCUCACCUUUGUAAGGGAAUAGAAUGGUAGGUACAGCAAGAGGGUGGUAAAAUUAUUUAUCAACUUCUUUGCCUUUCUACCUCAUUUUGUUCUUACUUCACAUAUAGCAUGUGCCUACUGAAUUGCAGUGUGUAUUUUUAUAUAGUACUCAGUUCCACUAGACAGUGAGAUUUUUAUUCAGGAUUUUAUGUCUAGAUGAUGCUUUAUUUAUCUUUAUAGUCAUACACAUAAUAUGGUGGUAGGCACAGAGUAGAUUCAUGAAUAUUGAGUAAAAUAAUGAAUCUGUAAGUAUACAAAAGCAACUGAAAACUGGGCACAGUGGCUCACACCUGUAAUCCCAGCACUUUGGGAGGCCAAGGCAGGUGGAUCAUGAGGUCAAGAGAUCGAGACCAUCCUGACCAACAUGGUGAAACCCUGUCUCUACUAAAAAUACAAAAAUUAGCUGGACAUGGUGGUGUGUGCCUGUAAUCCCAGCUACUCGGGAGGCUGAGGCAGAAGAAUUUGCUUGAACCAGGGAGUCGGAGGUUGCAGUGAGCCAAGAUUGUACCACAGCACUACAGCCUGGUGACAGAGUGAGACUCUGUGUCAAAAAAAAAAAAAAAAAAAAA
rnacentral:lncRNA from 1 species